CGAAUGGGGAGAUUCAUCGUCAGCCGCUUUGGCUUCCGUGUGAACGCGAUGAUCGGGGCUUCGGCUCUGCGUCACGCGUUUGCUGCGGCAUGUCUGGAGUGGUCGGCGUGCACUUCUCCCCUAGUAGGACGUCGCGAUUCGUUGGGUGUCGGUUUACGGACCGGUAGGUCGCCUGGCGUAUCUCGUUCACGCGAGUUUGUGUCAGACCUCUGGAUUCCCAACCGGCUGCCCGGCGGUAUAAAACGAUAAUUAAACGGUAUUGGGCCGCAUUGAAUGCGUUCAGGCUCGUAGGCAGGCUUGUCUCGCUCGGAUUUACGGACCUAGUGCCGUUGCCGGGUGCUUGGCGAACUGUGGCUUGCGAUGUCCUCGGACUGGCUCUUGAAUAUUCUUACGAAUAUACCGAUCGGCGACGCUACUGCUUUGGGUACUUUCAGGACCCGUCUUGAA
rnacentral:rRNA from 1 species